ensembl:lncRNA
GGAGAUUAGUUGAGAGGAGAAAAGAGAAGCCCAAGCACAAGUGUCCUCUACUGCGACACACAAAGGUGGGAACUGUGAGAGCAAAACUACAAACACAAUGAGUUUAUGAACAGAUGGGCAGCCAGAAAAAAGAGAGAGAAAAUCAAGCAAAACACAUCAAGCUCAAACAACCAACUACUGAUCCAGACAUUUUAUGUUAACUGUCCUUCUGAAUCUCUGUUCUCAUUCUGCACUCCUCAGCUCCACACACCCUGGCCUUGGCCUCUGCAAGCAUCAGUGUUCAAAUGUGUCCCCAACCAGGUCGCAUCAGGACCUGAAAAACCGUGGCCAAAUAUCCGAUACUGUCUGAUGUGACAGACCUAUAAAUAAUAUCAUAUAGCUGCAAAACAUCAGUUCUCUCCAGUAAAAACACAAACAAACAAAACAAAAAUAAAACAAAUAAAUAUUCUAAGGCUGCAUCAACUCUUUUGAUGAUUUUGCUCUCACCCUGGCCUCAGAACAGUCAAUUGUCAGAGGACACAUUCCUUAACCAUAGACCCCCUACCUUAAAUGGCUCAAGCACUAAGAAUUGGCCAACCAGGGCAGGAAAGCAAAGGUGUGUGCAUCACAGUCAAAGAAUGAACCAAACACCACUCCUGUCCGUCCAAGACCCUCCUGGCCUGAACGCCUGCGACUAAGCACUAUGAAUAAUAUCACCUCUCUCUCUCUGGGAAAACCUCGGGCUCAGGUCAGAGGAUUAGGAACCGACAGAGAAAGGGAAAGAGAGGGUGUUACAGAGAGAAAUGGAGAGCGAGAUGAAAGAGAGAGAGAGAGAGAGAGAGAGAGAAUAAGAGAGAGAGAGAAAGAGAGAGAGGGAGGAAGGUAGGUGCACAGAAGGGUCGGCCAGGCCUCCUCGUGCACGCUCACUUUUUUCUCACUUGCUAAACAGGAGCCCUGGGGUGGAGCCAAGAGCAGUGACCACAAGCAUGAAAAAGCAGUGACAUAACCCCCACCCCCCGUCCCAUCCGCUGCACUGCACCACACCGCGCAGCACUCCAUGCACUGGGCACAUGUCCAGACACUCAAUGCUGAUUUAUUUAGAGGGGGGUCGUGUGUGUGCGUGUGUGUGUGUGUGUGUGUGUGUGUGUGUGUGUAUAAGGGGGGUGGGUGCUGACUCCCCAGCCUUGUUGUGGCAGGAGGCAGUCCCCUCCACUGUGACAGAGAACCGCAACAAAAGUACAUUAAAAGUGCACCAGUGGUGUAGUGGGGCUGCACUUACGGCACAAUGCACUACUGUAGGCUGCAGGGGAGAUGAGGUAGCUAGCACUGGCCUGUGGGUGGCCAGGGACAGCUGGUCCAGGCUACAUGAGUUAAUUUCUUCUGAGGGGCGGAGGACUCUCUCUCUCUCUCUCUCUCUCUCUCUCUCUCUCUCUCUGUUUCUCUCUCUCUUUCUCUCUGUCGUUCUACACUUGACAUGUUUGCGCCACUCUUUUCAAGCUCAAUGCAAUUUCUUCUCACACUUGUUUUGGAGUGGAAGUGGUCAUCAUAUGCCGGCUUGCCAUUUAAGUAAGAUUUAAAAAUAUCUUCAGUUUUCUUCUCAGCCAUUUAUUGAUGCUGUAGAAUGUAAUUCUGAGAGCGUUCAGUGCAGUCUACUGUCACCUCAAACAAGCCCUCUUUUCACUCUCUCUAGGACCGCCAGGAGCCCUGUUCUUAUGUUUCCCUUCAUUUGGGCCAGGCUUGAUGAGUGUGGGCUUUGGGAUUACCGUCAAGGGUGGGGCUGAGAGGGCAUUAAAAAUCACUUCAGACGGGGAAGAAAUGGAGGGAUGUGUCUUCCGAAAUCAGGGCAACACUCUCUCUCUCCCUCCCUCCCUCCUUCCCUCUCUCUCUCUCUCUCUCUCUCUCUCUCUGCUGUGUUAGUCAUGAGACCAUUUUGUUUUCUCAACAGCAGCAGCUAUGAUAACUGCUCGUUCUCCCUCGUCCGAGCUCUCAUGUUUCCUGCCGUUUGCUGACUCAUACGGUGGCACUGCCAGAUCACUGCGUGCUGCACACAUGACUGGUCUCUCUGCGUCGGUGGGGCCGCCAGCGCCGCUAUCCAGGUCCAGGUUAGCAUGCACUGACUGCUCCCCGUGUGCUCCCGGACUGCUCAGGUUCAGCCCGAGCACAUUUAUAGCGUGCGGGGGGAAGAAAAACUCAACGACCCUGGAUUCGCUCCCUGCUUUGCCCCCCAAAAAUAAUACUGUUUGGAGAGAGAGAGAGAGAGACACCAGGAUGGAGUGUCAGAUUGGGGAGUAAAUAUGUCUGUGAGAGAGCACCACACACACACACAGCUCCCCCACUUCAGUGCAGAAAAAGUGCUGUUACGCUAUGAAGCCAGACCAAGAGACCAAUGCGCUCUGUGUGAGAUAAUGAGAUCAUAUGAGAGAUAAGCCUUUGUCAUGCACUAGAGUGGCUGUCUUUCUUGGGGCAACCUGUAGUGGAGCAGCAGAGCACAGUUCUCUUUUUCUUACAUAGUAACACACACUCCCUACCACCUGUACGAGUGAAUGAACAAAACAAGUGAAAUGCCCAGAAAGUGAAACACACGCCAGAAAGGUAGCGAGGGACAGAGGGAGUGAAGGGGAGACAGAGAGAGAAUGAAUGAGUCAGUGAACACCUGAGUAGGUGGAUAAAGAGAAUGAGUCACAGUGGAAGUGAAAAAUAGUGAGGGAAAGUGAUUGGAUAGAAUUGCUGCGGGAGGGGAAGAACAAUUGAAUGAAUGAAGUGAGUCAGUGAAUGAGUAAGCGGGUGAGUAUGUUAUCAAUAUCUUUAGUCUGACGGAGCUGGCAUGUGUCCAUGCUUGUUCUACACAUACGGAUUGCCAGAGCUCAUUUUUGAUGCGUCAACAUUCCAUUUGGUGUAUUAUAUCCACAACAUGCAGAAUAGUGCACACGCCACUAGAGAGGAGGGGAACCAGCCGGCACACAAAACCCCAAAGUUUCAAGAUGAGAGGGAUGGAGAGCGGAGACAAGAGGGAGAGAAGAGAAUGAGAGUGAGAAGAGAGGGAACGGGAGGGAAAGGGAGAAAGAGAGAGAACUAGCAGAAGGGGUGGGUGUGUGUGUGUGUGUGUGUGUGUGUGUGUGUGUGUCUGUGGUGUAAACCAUGGGUGCUCCGUGAUGGAUGGAACCGAGUCCUGAAAAGCCACAGCUGCCUGGCUCUUCCCAGAAAAAGCUCCGGCAGAAACAGUGGCAGUAUGUGGUUCAAGCAUCUAGCGUCCUCUUACUAUUUCAGACACCGCAUACUGCAAGUGCCGUCAGAAUGUAUGCCAGCCGAAAAACCCUCUGUUGCUGUUCAUGUGUGACCGUGUGUAUGUGCAAAGGGCUGCCGUUAUGAGUACUGUAUACGCAUUCUGUUUAUAUAGUUGCUGUGGUAAUGUGUGAUCAUAUACGUGUAUACAGUGUGUGCUGUAAAAAGGCUAAAGAUUGGGAGGGACCGCCUUUUUAAGUAAAAGAAAGAGAGAGUAGAACUAUUUGUAUAUGUGUGUGCAUGUGUGUGUGUGCGACUGUGUGUGCGACUGUGUGUGCGUGUGCAUCUGUUCGAGACAGGCAGACACAGCAGAUGAGUUCAUGUGUGAACAUCCCCGCAUACGGGAUGUCUGCUUUCCGUCACUCUUUUUAUCUGUCUGCUAAAAAGCAUUAGUCCUUCUUUGGGCUUUGCUGCCAAAAACAGCACGCUUAGCUUGAGCACACUAUAUUCCCAAUAGGCUUAAUUGAGCUUGCGCUUGAGAUUGCAACCAUUAUCGUUUAUGUGUUACAUGGGGUGCGAGCCACUUCCCCCAGGUCAUCAAAAAAACAAUCGUCUACCACCUUCCAGACUUGUGCAAGGCAAUGUAAAACACACAAAACCUUAAAGGAGAAGGAAGUGUUUUUUGUUGUCAAAAAUGAAAAUGCUUUUGGAACCUAUUACGAUGAUGUAACUGAAAGCAUGAUAAACAAAUAUUCUUCAUUAAAACUGCGUUCUUCAGACACCUGGCUUCAGCCGUUUUUUAUGUGUUUGCUUACAUGUCUAGGACCUCUAAAUUGUCAACAAAUGAAUAACAAAUAUCUCAAACAAAGUGUUCAAAUGCGCAGAAGACACAGAACCAAUCAUCAAUUAGUGUCCUUCAGAUAAAUACCAUUAUUCUAGGUCUAGAAACAAAUCGAUUUUUUCUCAACUAAAAAUCACUGACUGUACCUUUAAGGGAAAUACAAAACUGCAUAUGAGGUAGAAUGUUCCCAGGCAAAGUUAAACUGCUGUUACAAGCACAGAUAAACUCCAUCGUUACAGAUGAAAUUCCUCUCUGGGCUCUUCCAAAAUGGAUUAAAAGCAAAUCUGAUUCUUACUGACUGUUCUACCCAAAUUUAGGAGGGGUUUGCAAUACAAACCCAAGUGUUCAUAAUUCUACAGUUUUACGCAAAACAAAAUCAAAAAUGAAACUCCCACAAAUGAGGAGACCCUCAAAAUCAGCAAAUUACUCAAAUAUCGCUAUAAAAUAGGGGGAUGAUGAAUUGAAUAAACCCCAAAAAGGACUGUAUUGCUAGUUGUGAAAAGGGUGACAAUCGCCACAGGUCUGUCCGGUUAGAACGAGAAUGAUGUCAAUGUCCCAGUGAUGACAGAUGUAAUGGAGUAUUUAUUGCACACACUCAAGCCUUGAAUGGCAGGAUGGACAUGAAUGACGAUGAACUGGUGACAAUCGCCACAGGUCUGUCCGGUUAGAACGAGAAUGAUGUCAAUGUCCCAGUGAUGACAGAUGUAAUGGAGUAUUUAUUGCACACACUCAAGCCUUGAAUGGCAGGAUGGACAUGAAUGACGAUGAACUGUGAUUGAACCGUGAAUGACCGUGAACUGACUGAUUUAAUCCGUGUUUGAACCGUGAAAUGAUAGACAUGAAUCCGUGG